rnacentral:rRNA from 1 species
UACGAAGGGGGCUAGCGUUGCUCGGAAUCACUGGGCGUAAAGGGCGCGUAGGCGGCGUUUUUAAGUUGGGGGUGAAAGCCUGUGGCUCAACCACAGAAUUGCCUUCGAUACUGGGACGCUUGAGUGUGGUAGAGGUUGGUGGAACUGCGAGUGUAGAGGUGAAAUUCGUAGAGAUCCGGAAGAACACCGGUGGCGAAGGCGGCCUGCUGGGCAGUUGCUGACACUGAGGCGCGACAGCGUGGGGGAGCAAACAGG